rnacentral:rRNA from 1 species
AGAACGAACGCUGGCGGCAUGCCUAACACAUGCAAGUCGAACGCUUCACCGGUUUCGGCCGGUGGGGAGUGGCGCACGGGUGAGUAGCGCGUGGGAACCUGCCCUGUUGUGGGGGAUAACCGAGGGAAACUUCGGCUAAUACCGCAUAAGCCGGUUGUCUUGAAAGGGAUGGCCGGGAAAGAUUUAUCGCGACAGGAGGGGCCCGCGUCGGAUUAGCUAGUUGGUGGGGUAACGGCCCACCAAGGCUGUGAUCCGUAGCUGGUCUGAGAGGAUGAUCAGCCACACUGGGACUGAGACACGGCCCAGACUCCUACGGGAGGCAGCAGUGGGGAAUAUUGGACAAUGGGCGCAAGCCUGAUCCAGCAAUGCCGCGUGAGUGAUGAAGGCCUUAGGGUUGUAAAGCUCUUUCGCCGCGACGAUGAUGACGGUAGCGGGAGAAGAAGCCCGGCUAACUUCGCGCCAGCAGCGCGGUA